UUCGGGAGCGAGGCUGGCGGCUGAGGGGCGCAGGCGGCAGUAUGGCGGCGGCGCUGGGUGGCUUGGGCCUCUUGCACGGCCGGUUCAGGCUAGCCGCCGCGGCCGCUGCCACCUCCUCCACCCUCGGCCCCCGGACUCCGGUGCGAGGAGGUGCCGCCGCUUUCCCCUCAGCCGGGAGGAGCUAUGGAUCGGAGGCGAAGGAGGAGGAGGAGCUGCGAGUGCGGUACCUGGAUGAAGAGCACAAAGGAAUUGUGGUGCUUGGGUUAAACAGAUCUCAUGCCAAGAAUGCACUUAACAAAAAUCUUUUAAAAAUGAUGUCAAAAGCUGUGGAUGCUUUGAAAUCUGAUAAGAAAGUACGAACUGUUAUAUUCCGAAGUGAAGUCCCAGGGAUAUUCUGUGCUGGCGCUGACCUUAAAGAAAGAGCGAAAAUGCAUUCAAGCGAAGUCGGUUCUUUUGUCUCAAAAGCAAGAGCAACUAUUAAUGAGAUGGCUAAUCUUCCAGUACCAACUAUUGCUGCAAUCGAUGGAACUGCGUUGGGUGGUGGCCUGGAACUUGCUUUAGCCUGUGACAUAAGAGUGGCAGCCUCUUCUGCUAAGAUGGGCCUGGUUGAAACGAAGUUGGCAAUCAUUCCAGGUGCAGGGGGAACACAGAGAUUACCUCGUACAAUUGGAGUAUCUUUGGCUAAAGAGCUAAUCUUCUCUGCACGCAUCGUGGACGGUGAGGAAGCAAAGUCAAUAGGAUUGAUUAGCCAUGUGGUAGAACAGAAUGAAGCAGGGGAUGCUGCAUACAGACGAGCACUAGCUCUGGCAAGAGAAUUUUUACCUCAGGGACCAGUAGCAAUGAGAGUUGCAAAGCUGGCCAUUGAUCAGGGAAUGGAGGUUGACUUAGUAACAGGCCUAGCAAUUGAAGAAGCUUGUUAUGCUCAGGAUGAACUGUGGUCAGUGUCCAUUCUGUGACGAUAAAGCAGCUGUUCAACAUGAAGUGACAAGAACUCAUUUAAAUUCACAUUUAGGCAUAUCAUUACAUGUAAAUUGGUUUUAACUGGUAGAGCACACACUUUAUUAACUGGUGAACUUGCUGAGUUGAUCAUUUCGUGCAUGAUAAUUUGCAAAUAAAGUACCGGUGCUUGUUUUUAUAGUCAUAUAAAGCCUUGAGGGUCAUUUUCUCCUGUUUUUGAAAUGCUAACAUGUCAUUUUCAUUUUUACUGAGCAGGAAAUAAUUACGUUAAUGAGAUUUUAAAAAAUACUAAGUCUGUGCUGACUGAUUUGUGUUUGUGUAUAACUUUGAUGUACUGUCAGGUUAUUGAGAUGUCUUUGGUUUCUUAACAAGGACUGAUUAACUGCUUUCCAUGAAUGUUUUUUAUAACAAACUUAACUUCACAUACCGUGAUGUGAGACGGUAGAUUUGUGCCUUUAACUAGCAGUUUUGAUUUCAGAAAAUAAUUUUGCUGUCAUAGUCUCUAUUCCUUUUCUAAGGAGAAGAUAUUGUUGGAUUGUGGCAACUUGAAUCUCUUCUUUGAAGUUAAGAAUUUGAAUGCUAUUUAAAAUUGAGUACCAUUAGCAUGGUACUUAAAGGUUCUAGGUAGUGAUAUUGCAAUAGAGGAAUUUUUGCAAAGAAUGUGUUGAACACUUACUGUCUCUGUUCUUAAGUAACUAGCAUUAUGAUGACUUUCAAUUGCUCCUAGUAAAUAGCAGUGUUAGAUUUCUACUUCCAUGAAAGGAUGGUUUGCAACAGAAAUGCUCUUAUAAAGCCCCAUUUUUAUUAGGAAAGUUAUGAUCUGGCAGAUCCUCCUUCAAGUGCUUAGACUCGGUUCUUUCAGUUUGUGGUAAAGCCGUGCUUUUCUCCACAAUAUCUCAAUAGUAAAUGGCCCCUGAUCUCUUCUGAUUUCCUGAAAGGUUAUUUCAUGGUUCCCCAAGCAUAAGCAGCUCCUUAUCCUUGCUUUUGCUCAACUGAAGUGGAUACUGAAUUCUUCUGUACUUCAAUAUUGAGUUCAGUAUCAAAAGGUUAUAUUACAGGUAGAUCAGUUACCUUGAGCGUCUCAGUGGUGUAAGUUCAAGUGCCAAACAGUCCAAGUAUUCUUGCAGAAGUUAGUGUGUGAAUUUAUAUAACCCAUAUACCUCAUUUUUGCUUCUAACCUAUGAAAUCAUUAAUAUGGAAGCAACUCACGUCUCACUACUUUUACUAAGUUUCUGGCUGAAGUUUUAAGAAUUGUCUGAAUAACAUCAGUCACUUCAGUGCCUUUGAGUAUCUCACCUGCUAUGAAGAAACCUGGUCCUUUUUUCUCAGAUUGUGUAAUGAUACACUUAAGAGCACUUGAAGAAUGUUAUUUUGUCUAACAAUCUGUGGAAUUUGUAGAACCAUUUGUGCCGGGUUGUUGAAAUUCUGUCAGUCUAUGCACAAUUACUCGUAGUCUUACUUCAGUGUUCGUAUCUGCUUUUUAGCAACUGCUUUUAACUACCUGCAUUCAAAAUAGUAAAUGCUAGGAUGUAUCAUUUGCAGCUGUUUCAUAUUUAUGUCAGUCAUUGUUCUGUGAUGUAUCUGUUGAAUUCAGCAGAAACGAACUGGUCUCUUCUACAGAACAGAGACUAGCUUGAAUUUGUCUUCGGAAGACAUGGGAAGUAAAUUAAUGUGUUCAGUAUUACUGGUACUUCAUAGUACCAAAAAACGGCUCAUAGAUGGAAAAUGAAAACAGUGAUUGACGUAUCUUAAUUUAUCACCAGUUUAGUUUUUGUUUCAUUACUUCUCCAUGUAAGCAAAUACCUGGAAAGGUGUCUAUUGAGAUUAGUCAAGAUUUAUAAUAUUCAGGAAAAAAAAAAGUUGGUAUUUUUUCUGGUGUAAACAGAACAAGAUAUACUUCCAUCUCUCAUUUAUGAAGUUUUACACACAUCCAACCACUGAUGAAAAGUCAUAGGACUUAAUUGUCUAGUGAAAUUUGUACAUUUAAUGCACUUACGGUGUGAUGACAGUGCAGCUAUUUUAAGAUGUUCUUUUUCUGCACAUUUCUAGAAAGACAUCUAUUUCCAAAAGUGAGAGAAGGAGAAUAGUUGUGAACAUAUAAGCCAAAAGGAGAGAUGUGUUCAGCUAAAGAUUUCAUUUUGUCAGAGUCUGUUGCUCAGCUGUCUCCUCUUUGAACCUCGAAGUGAAUUUGAAUGUUACAUGUGACUUGUCUGGUGUUAUUGCUGAGUACAGUAUCCUCCAUCAAAACCAAGGCUGGCAGCAGUAGCUGAUGCUUUCCUGAGCAGCUCUGCUCACUGUGCUACAGCCUACUACUAGGAGUAAAAGAACAGUUUGAUUCUCAUCACUAUCUUCUUUGAACUUGUCUACAGGAUAAGAAAACCCCCAGAAGUGACACUUUUAGGUCAGGAGCUGAAACACCUCAUCUGACUGGAUGAGAGCAGUGUUUUGUUUCAAACACGUUGAACAGAUUUUCUUGAUCAAAAAACUUAUGUGCAUGUAACCAAGUCAAAACUAUCCAGUUUCAGUCCAUCAGAUUGGCAUUUUGCAGAUGUAGGGUAUCUGUCCUCUGACCUUAUCAGUCAACAUCUAGGACUGACUGUUUUAUAAACUGUAGCCUUGUUCAACUGCAGUGAAUAAUUUGGUAGUGGGACUGUCAUUUUCAGAGAAAACAUGCUUCUGUCCAAUGAUGCACUGUAAAUAAGCACCAUAAAAUUUUAGUCCUUAUGUUUCCUUCUACAGUCAUUUUUACUUGUUUAUACUCAUGUAGUCUCACAGUGAAUAAAAAUGAUAGUCUUGUUCUUCAUCCUGUUGCUCAGAUGAAAUGAGGGUCAGGAAUUUGAUAAGCAUUGAAGAACACAGAAGAAAAUCUGUACCUUCACCUUAAAUUAUGAUAUAACUAAUCUAACCUUCAUUUGUACAUUCUUUUCUGUCCCUAAGGAUGGAAUCUGUGUGUGGUGGUGGUACUUUUCAAAAAUGAAGUCUGUAGUUCCUAGAAAUAAAGUCAAUUUAUAAGCACA